AUGUAAUGGCAGGAAGAAGGUGUGUCUUACUCUUUGGCCUGUUUCUGCCUUGCUGUUUGCAGCUGCCAUAACUGCAGCCCCACCAUGCCACCCGGCCUUGGAGCCAACUGAGUACGGACUGAAACCUCCAAAAAAGAGAGAAGGAGCCCUGCCGGGGCAGCCGCAGGCCCAGAGCUCCCAGCGUCCCUCCAGCUCCCCACCGCCAUGCCCACACCAGCAUCAGACUUGGGAUUUGGACCUGGGAGGACCAGAACCAUGGGCGUUUAUAAGGAGGGGAGGACCUGAAGCUGCCCUGGAAGGUGAGGGGACUGCGGUCUAAGAAGGAGGAAGGGACCCUCACACUCUGACUCUGGGGGUCAGAAAGGAACCAGCAGAAGCGGGACAGCAAGAAAAGUUCAAAGCUCUGUAGAAGCAGCAGCACAGGAACAAACCUUUCGAGCCCUUUCAAUAAAUGACAGGGGCACAGUGGCAGUAUUUUUAUAAAGGAAAAUAAGAAUUUCCACUUCCUCCAAAAAUAAAAUUAAAAAAUUGGUGAAACCCAGCACCGGUGAGAGCGUGGCUGGUGGGUGUAUUCUCCUAUGCCUCUCCUGAGGGGAUCCAUUUGUGCAACCUCCCCGCAAGGAAUUUGGUAAUGGUCACUGGGAUUGUAAAUGCACACAUCCUUUGCAAACCCAGCUGCUAGGAAGGAACCCAGUGGAUGUUCUUUCCAAAGUUCUUGCAAGCAUCUGGAAAAUGAUGAUUCAUUGCAGUAUAUUUUACAGUAGCAAAACCCUUUGUCCUGAAGCCCUGCCCAGGACCUAGUGCCUCUGUGACAGAGGAGAGGCAUCUGCAAGUCCCCAGCAAGUCCCCAAGUUACGUUUACUCAAGAAUUUGUUCAAGCCAGCCACACACAAUUGAAGAAAGUGAGUCUCAGAGGAAGAAAGUGAAUUUCUGUAGUCCCACGGCAGGUUCCUGUUGGAAUACAGAGCAACACGAAAGUCACCGACCCUCUAGGUGAAAGCUGGCUGCUUAAGGUCAUCGUCCCUCCCGCUUUUGGUUGGGGAUUUCAGCACCCAGCAGCAACCUCACUCUGCUCACAUCUCAUAAAUCAAAUUAAAGCAAAGAAAACUUCCUGCUUCAAUAUUGAAA